rnacentral:rRNA from 1 species
CUAAGGCUCCAGAGGAAGCCACGGCUAACUCUGUGCCAGCAGCCGCGGUAAUACAGAGGCGGCAAGCGUUGUUCGGAAUUAUUGGGCGUAAAGAGCACGUAGGCGGCCUUGCAAGUCAGUUGUGAAAGCCUUCCGCUUAACGGAAGAAUGCCAGCUGAUACUACAGGGCUUGAGUACGGGAGGGGAGAGUGGAACUUCUGGUGGAGCGGUGAAAUGCGUAGAUAUCAGAAGGAACGCCGGCGGCGAAAGCGACCCUCUGGCCCGAAACUGACGCUGAGUGUGCGAAAGCUAGGGGAGCAAACGGGAUUAGAUACCCCGGUAGUCCUAGCCGUAAA